UACGGAGGGAGCUAGCGUUGUUCGGAAUUACUGGGCGUAAAGCGCACGUAGGCGGCUUUGUAAGUUAGAGGUGAAAGCCCGGGGCUCAACUCCGGAAUAGCCUUUAAGACUGCAUCGCUUGAAUCCAGGAGAGGUGAGUGGAAUUCCGAGUGUAGAGGUGAAAUUCGUAGAUAUUCGGAAGAACACCAGUGGCGAAGGCGGCUCACUGGACUGGUAUUGACGCUGAGGUGCGAAAGCGUGGGUAGCAAACAGG
rnacentral:rRNA from 1 species